CCUGCAUGAUGAUAAGCAAAUACUGACUGGAUGUGAAGGUCUUGUUUAUUAGCUCUACCUGAUU